rnacentral:lncRNA from 1 species
UAGAAACUGCUAUGUUUAAUAUUCUUAUUCGUAUAUUUAGAAAAUCAUUGUUUUAGUAAAAACCAUGUUUUUAGCCAAUCGUCGAAAAUAAAAAGUCAAGUCAAAAUCCAAACCCCAAAAUAAAAAUCAAACAGUCUGAAGAGUCCAUAAAUUACAAAACUCCCAGAGAAAAACCUUUAAUCAAAUAAAUAAAUAUCAUGGUUUUAAGCAGUAUGAAC